CAAUAGCGUAUAUUAAAGUUGUUGCAGUUAAAAAGCUCGUAGUUGGAUUUGUGGCGUACGGUGUGUUCCGGGCACUUGUUGUCUGAGUAACCUGCUGUUGCCAUCCUUGGGUGGAACCUGUGUGGCAUUAGGUUGUCGUGCAGGGGAUGCCCAUCAUUUACUGUGAAAAAAUUAGAGUGUUCAAAGCAGGCUUAUGCCGUUGAAUAUAUUAGCAUGGAAUAAUGAGAUAGGACUUUCUUGCUAUUUUGUUGGUUUGCGCAAAGAGGUAAUGAUUAAUAGGGACAGUUGGGGGUAUUCGUAUUCCACUGUCAGAGGUGAAAUUCUUGGAUUUUUGGAAGACGAACUACUGCGAAAGCAUUUACCAAGGAUGUUUUCAUUAA
rnacentral:rRNA from 1 species